GUCGAGCGGACAGAAGGGAGCUUGCUCCCGGAUGUUAGCGGCGGACGGGUGAGUAACACGUGGGUAACCUGCCUGUAAGACUGGGAUAACUCCGGGAAACCGGAGCUAAUACCGGAUAGUUCCUUGAACCGCAUGGUUCAAGGAUGAAAGACGGUUUCGGCUGUCACUUACAGAUGGACCCGCGGCGCAUUAGCUAGUUGGUGAGGUAACGGCUCACCAAGGCGACGAUGCGUAGCCGACCUGAGAGGGUGAUCGGCCACACUGGGACUGAGACACGGCCCAGACUCCUACGGGAGGCAGCAGUAGGGAAUCUUCCGCAAUGGACGAAAGUCUGACGGAGCAACGCCGCGUGAGUGAUGAAGGUUUUCGGAUCGUAAAGCUCUGUUGUUAGGGAAGAACAAGUGCAAGAGUAACUGCUUGCACCUUGACGGUACCUAACCAGAAAGCCACGGCUAACUACGUGCCAGCAGCCGCGGUAAUACGUAGGUGGCAAGCGUUGUCCGGAAUUAUUGGGCGUAAAGGGCUCGCAGGCGGUUUCUUAAGUCUGAUGUGAAAGCCCCCGGCUCAACCGGGGAGGGUCAUUGGAAACUGGGAAACUUGAGUGCAGAAGAGGAGAGUGGAAUUCCACGUGUAGCGGUGAAAUGCGUAGAGAUGUGGAGGAACACCAGUGGCGAAGGCGACUCUCUGGUCUGUAACUGACGCUGAGGAGCGAAAGCGUGGGGAGCGAACAGGAUUAGAUACCCUGGUAGUCCACGCCGUAAACGAU
rnacentral:rRNA from 1 species